rnacentral:rRNA from 1 species
GAGUUUGAUCAUGGCUCAGAUUGAACGCUGGCGGCAGGCCUAACACAUGCAAGUCGAACGGUAACAGGAAGAAGCUUGCUUCUUUGCUGACGAGUGGCGGACGGGUGAGUAAUGUCUGGGAAACUGCCUGAUGGAGGGGGAUAACUACUGGAAACGGUAGCUAAUACCGCAUAACGUCGCAAGACCAAAGAGGGGGACCUUCGGGCCUCUUGCCAUCGGAUGUGCCCAGAUGGGAUUAGCUAGUAGGUGGGGUAACGGCUCACCUAGGCGACGAUCCCUAGCUGGUCUGAGAGGAUGACCAGCCACACUGGAACUGAGACACGGUCCAGACUCCUACGGGAGGCAGCAGUGGGGAAUAUUGCACAAUGGGCGCAAGCCUGAUGCAGCCAUGCCGCGUGUAUGAAGAAGGCCUUCGGGUUGUAAAGUACUUUCAGCGGGGAGGAAGGGAGUAAAGUUAAUACCUUUGCUCAUUGACGUUACCCGCAGAAGAAGCACCGGCUAACUCCGUGCCAGCAGCCGCGGUAAUACGGAGGGUGCAAGCGUUAAUCGGAAUUACUGGGCGUAAAGCGCACGCAGGCGGUUUGUUAAGUCAGAUGUGAAAUCCCCGGGCUCAACCUGGGAACUGCAUCUGAUACUGGCAAGCUUGAGUCUCGUAGAGGGGGGUAGAAUUCCAGGUGUAGCGGUGAAAUGCGUAGAGAUCUGGAGGAAUACCGGUGGCGAAGGCGGCCCCCUGGACGAAGACUGACGCUCAGGUGCGAAAGCGUGGGGAGCAAACAGGAUUAGAUACCCCGGUAGUCCACGCCGUAAACGAUGUCGACUUGGAGGUUGUGCCCUUGAGGCGUGGCUUCCGGAGCUAACGCGUUAAGUCGACCGCCUGGGGAGUACGGCCGCAAGGUUAAAACUCAAAUGAAUUGACGGGGGCCCGCACAAGCGGUGGAGCAUGUGGUUUAAUUCGAUGCAACGCGAAGAACCUUACCUGGUCUUGACAUCCACAGAACUUUCCAGAGAUGGAUUGGUGCCUUCGGGAACUGUGAGACAGGUGCUGCAUGGCUGUCGUCAGCUCGUGUUGUGAAAUGUUGGGUUAAGUCCCGCAACGAGCGCAACCCUUAUCUUUUGUUGCCAGCGGUCCGGCCGGGAACUCAAAGGAGGCUGCCAGUGAUAAACUGGAGGAAGGUGGGGAUGACGUCAAGUCAUCAUGGCCCUUACGACCAGGGCUACACACGUGCUACAAUGGCGCAUACAAAGAGAAGCGACCUCGCGAGAGCAAGCGGACCUCAUAAAGUGCGUCGUAGUCCGGAUUGGAGUCUGCAACUCGACUCCAUGAAGUCGGAAUCGCUAGUAAUCGUGGAUCAGAAUGCCACGGUGAAUACGUUCCCGGGCCUUGUACACACCGCCCGUCACACCAUGGGAGUGGGUUGCAAAAGAAGUAGGUAGCUUAACCUUCGGGAGGGCGCUUACCACUUUGUGUUUCAUGACUGGGGUGAAGUCGUAACAAGGUAACCGUAGGGGAACCUGCGGUUG